rnacentral:rRNA from 1 species
GACAGAGGAUGCAAGCGUUAUCCGGAAUCAUUGGGCGUAAAGCGCGCGUAGGCGGCCCGGUAAGUCCGCUGUGAAAGUCCAGGGCUCAACCCUGGAAAGCCGGUGGAUACUGCCGGGCUAGAGUCCGGAAGAGGCGAGUGGAAUUCCUGGUGUAGCGGUGGAAUGCGCAGAUAUCAGGAGGAACACCAAUGGCGAAGGCAGCUCGCUGGGACGGUACUGACGCUGAGGCGCGAAAGCGUGGGGAGCGAACAGG